rnacentral:tRNA from 1 species
GAGGGUACAGCUCAGUGGUAGAGCGCAUGCUUAGCAUGCACAAGGUCCUGGGUUCAAUCCCUAGUGCCUCCA